GUCUCCACCCAUUUCACUCUUAACACACUUGAUCUCAUCUGAUCUUGGUAGCUAAGCAAGUUUGGCCCUGCUUAGUACUUGAAUAGGACAAAGCUGGCUGAGCCU
rnacentral:rRNA from 1 species